CUAACACAACGCAAGCCCUCCUAGCCGCGCGCCGGGGAAGACACGUGCUGCCAACCGUCCAGGCUAGGCCUCCGCGCCCCGUUGCUUAGAAGCGCUCGCAGAGCUUGGAGAACGGCGCGCGGGGCUGUUUUUCCACUUCCGUGCGCUUUUCCUCCCUUUGGUUAUAAGCAUGCCCUCCUAGGUCGGGUUUUUCUGGUGCCCAGCUGUUCUCUUUUUCAGAUUGCUCUUUUUUCAUCCCCUAUUCCCAACUGAGCUGAACAGACUUUUCUACCUAACACUUUCCCAUGGUGUGUUUGAGAUUUGUGUUAUUUUUUUUCUUUAUACCUUUUUUCCUUUGCCCAAACUUUGCAAAAUAGCCAAUUUUUGGAGGGAGUUGUGAACCAGGCAAAUUUUCUGAUACUUAAAGUGUGAUCUGGAAAUACCUUUCAGCUGCAAAGAAUAUCUGUCUCUCAAAUGCUUCUUCCACUGCCAAAAAAGGGUGACGCUAAAGAUUGUUCUAAUUAUCACACAAUUGCUUUCAUCCCUCACUUCAGCAAGAUUCUGCUUAAAAUGAUUCAACAAUGUCUAGCACCAAUCAUCAAAAGAAUUACCAGAUGUCCAAGCCAGCUUCCAAAGGGGGGGUUGUCGUGGCACCUGCGACCAUAUUGCGUAUCUGUGCUGGAUAAUGGAAAAAACCUGUGAAUAACAAAGAUCAUUUACAUGUGCUUCAUCAACUAUAAGAAACUUCAUUUGUGUUGAUCAUGUGAAGCUAUGGAGAGUUCUCUAAGUCCUGAAGGUACCAAUGCAUCUUGUCAAGUUGGUGCAAUCACUGUACACAAAUCAGGAGGUCACUGUGCAAACACUAUAUUGAGACACCGGUUUGGUUUAAGAUAAAGGUGUGCAGCAAGGUUACAUUCUCUCCCCUUUCUUAUUCAACUUGUAUCCCAAAAUGAUAAUGAGUUAAGUUAGAUCUUGAGAAUCAAAAAACAGAGUAAAGAUUGGUGGAAGAAACAUUAACAGUGUUGGAUAUGCUGAUGAUACAACUCUCAGAAACAGAAAGACAUGGAACAUCUGAUCAAGAAAGAAAGUGAGAAUUUUGAUCUGUUUCUGAACUUCAAAAAGACCAAGCUCAUGAUCACUGCAAGGAAUGGAAACAAAAUAGAAAUUGACGGUGAACAGAUAGAAUGCAUAGAAAAAUUCACUUUCCUAGUAUUGCAGAUAGCUCAAAGUGGUGAAUCCAGCCCAGAAAUAAAAUAUCUGAUUGCACUGGAUCGCAUAGCAGAAAUGAACAUGAAUCAAAUAUGAAAAAGCAAGGAUAUCAACCUGGCAACUAAAUAUGGAGAACAUUGGCUGGCUAAAAUAACUAAUUCAGUUGGGUGAGUGCAGAAGAGAAUUCCCAGACUUCUUUUUAACUAUAAAAUUACAGUGCUGUUCCAGACAGAAGCAGCUGAAAAGUUUGUUCAUUGAAUUGCUGAGUCCAUUUGACAGUCCAUUUCCAAAACUGGAGUAGAUUGUGUAUCUAGAAAACAGUUGUUGAAAAGUUUUAUAAUAGUGAUACCAGAAGAUGAUCUCUGUCAGGCCAAUUAAGUAGAAAAAGAUUUUAUACAAGUUAUUGAAUUUGAUAAGAUUAAAGUCUAAUCAAUUAAGGAAAGUCUUGAGCCAACCCAGUGGGACAAUUUGUCUGAGAAAUCAUUGCUGAUAGAUCCAUUCAAAAGAUAUAAAUGUAGUUGGCUAACUAUAAUAAACACAAUCUUGCAAUCCACUUUUGAAUAUUUAGAUUACUGGGUUGAUACAUAGGAAAUUAUAAUUAGUUUGUAGGUAUUGAUGGAACUGAAUAAAAAGUGUCUCAUCGCUAA